rnacentral:rRNA from 1 species
CCUACGGGAGGCUGCAGUGAGGAAUAUUGGUCAAUGGGCGCUAGCCUGAACCAGCCAAGUAGCGUGAAGGAUGACUGCCCUAUGGGUUGUAAACUUCUUUUAUAUGGGAAUAAAGUGCAGUAUGUAUACUGCUUUGCAUGUACCUUAUGAAUAAGGAUCGGCUAACUCCGUGCCAGCAGCCGCGGUAAUACGGAGGAUCCGAGCGUUAUCCGGAUUUAUUGGGUUUAAAGGGAGCGUAGGCGGGUUGUUAAGUCAGUUGUGAAAGUUUGCGGCUCAACCGUAGAAUUGCAGUUGAUACUGGCAUCCUUGAGUACAGUAGAGGUAGGCGGAAUUCGUGGUGUAGCGGUGAAAUGCUUAGAUAUCACGAAGAACUCCGAUUGCGAAGGCAGCCUGCUGGACUGUAACUGACGCUGAUGCUCGAAAGUGUGGGUAGCAAACAGGAUUAGAUACCCCAGUAGUC